GAUCAUGGCUCAGGAUGAACGCUAGCUACAGGCUUAACACAUGCAAGUCGAGGGGCAGCAUGGUCUUAGCUUGCUAAGGCUGAUGGCGACCGGCGCACGGGUGAGUAACGCGUAUCCAACCUGCCGUCUACUCUUGGCCAGCCUUCUGAAAGGAAGAUUAAUCCAGGAUGGCAUCAUGAGUUCACAUGUCCGCAUGGUUAAAGGUAUUUUCCGGUAGACGAUGGGGA
rnacentral:rRNA from 1 species